UAAACAGCAAAAUACUGUUUUAAUGUAAAAACAGCAAGUUGCCAUUUUUUACAAUGCAUCAUGGGAAGACUUGCUCACUUCAGUUUGAGUGGUUGAGCAACAACAGUAAGGGCACUGUAAUUUAACGGUUUUAUACCAUAUUUUUUUCUGUGUACACAAGACGCCAUUUUGGAUUAUCUACAUCUACGGAUUAUCUACAUGAGGUAAGUUUGCAGCUCCAAAUGUGACUAACUAUCUGUAAAGUACCUGUUAUUUUUUUAAAUCACAUGUAAACAUCCAAUAAACACACAACUGCAACAAUGAUUUGACUGUGUGAAUUUGAAAAGCAAGAUUAGCAUAAGGACUCGGUAACGUUAGUCCUCACAUCUCCUGGAGCCUGGAUGGAUAUUUUACCUGAACUUUUAGGAACAGUGCAAAUUUUGAACGUUAUAAUUUGUGGUUACAUGAACUGGAACAUUGCCCUGCAUUUUAUGACAGAUUUGAACUGCGUGCCUCUGUUUGAAACUCCAAGGUACUUACAAAAAAGGAUAAUUGGAUAAUUUGGAUAUUUUCGACGAGGUAAGAAGCUAUAUCUGUAAACGUACUAUCUUUAAAUUACUUAUUAAAUUUAAAUAUCAUGCCAUAAACAUCCAAUCAACACAUAACCAAAGCACCUGUUUAUUUAAUUGCAGGAUCCGACCGUGUGAAUGUCUUGAGAAGAGAAAGGGGGUAACUUUAGCCUAAUUUAGCAAGCUAACGAUAGCUGGAGGACUCAUUUUCACAUCACACACAGAUACACCUUUUCAUUUGCAACUCCGGUGCUUCUAAAAAUAACAUUUUAAGAUUGAGUGAGACCUUUGUUAUUUUUACGUUAUUGCAGUUGGUUUAUAUAGAAAUUGACUAGAGUUACGAUCAGAUUUUAUGCUUGGUAAUGUUACCUAAAGUGGCAGAGCUUUUAAUCUUUUUGAUGAUGUGAGUAAGGAGUAACUGCUAUUAUAAUGAAAAUUCUUUACAAUUCAUUUUUGACCAAUAGAUGUCUGCCACCACUGCUAAUCUUGAAAAGAUGGGUAACCUGCCUGUGACUCCUCAUUUGAUUCUGCCUGGUUCAGAUGAUACUUUGGGCCAGUGGAUAAAACAAUGGGUGAUCAGCAUGGAAGGCAGAGUAAUCUGUGAGGGUGAGCAUGCACACUGGAAUUCCUUCAAAGAUGCUUUGCUGGCAUAAAUCCAGAGAGGGGAACCAAGGCUGUGAGAGGAAAUGUGACGUCAAAAAAAACUGGCAAGACAGUUCAGAAGAAGACCAUGACUGUAAACCCCAAGGUUUCAAACCUUUUAAAGAAACUAAUGGACUUUGAAUGGGACUUUAUUUAAAAUGCAGCUAGCUUGAACCCCCUACUUUUGCAACACAGAGGCCUUUUUUUCUUUAUUUGCUGAAGCUCAUUUUGGGGCUAUAUAUUUUUAUAUUUUAUAUCCAAGACUAAAUUGUAAAGUGGCUAUUUAUUAAUUUUUUCUAUGACAUUCGGUAAGUUGCUUCUUGUUGUACAAUGCUGAAUACGAUCUUAACAUUUCUGGAGAACUUACAAUUUUUGCCUGUUCUUUGGCUUAAUAUUUUCACAAACACAAUGCAGAUUUUAUUUUGUGUUGUUUGAAAAUAAAAAAUGUGAAAUAUAA